GUUUGUCUUCAAGGCGUGGUGAAAUUCCCGACCGGCGGUGACAGCCCGCAACCCAUUGUUAAUGGUUGAUCUGGUGUAAUUCCAGAGCCGACAGUACAGUCUGGUAUAAAGAAGAUUUCU
rfam:Lactobacillus reuteri DSM 20016, complete genome.